UCUGACUAUAACUAUGGACUAUUGCUUAAAUAUCUAAUUCACCAUCCUUCACAGCUAUCUUUUAAGUACUGAGUGCAUAUUGCAAUAUCAUGUGCCUUCGAACCAUGGUGACUGAUGUAUGUGAAGUCAUCAGUAGAGGUGAUAUGCAAGAGACAUAAUGGAAGCAAGAAAGUCCUUGAAACUGCUGUUUUUGAGGAAAACUUCCAUCUGGGGAGAAAAUCAGAACAAAUAAGAGCUAGUACGUUAUUGCCUCUCUGACUCCAGAGCUGUCUAGAGGAAAAGAAGGUAUCAAUUCAUCCAACAAACAUUUAUGAAGUGACUAUAACAUGGUAAGCAAUGUGUAGGUGUUGUAUGGAGUUGACAAGUAUUUUUAAGUCCCAUUCUUUUCGUUCAAGGAAUUUACUGUAUCGCUGAAAAACAAAUUAUCCAAAAUAAAUCUUGCAA
rnacentral:lncRNA from 1 species